GACGAACGCUGGCGGCGUGCUUAACACAUGCAAGUCGAACGGAAAGGCCCUGCUUUUGUGGGGUGCUCGAGUGGCGAACGGGUGAGUAACACGUGUGUAACCUGCCCUUGACUUUGGGAUAACUUCAGGAAACUGGGGCUACUACCGGAUAGGAGCUCCUGCUGCAUGGUGGGGGUUGGAAAGUUUCGGCGGUUGGGGAUGGACUCGCGGCUUAUCAGCUUGUUGGUGGGGUAGUGGCUUACCAAGGCUGUGACGGGUAGCCGGCCUGAGAGGGUGACCGGCCACAUUGGGACUGAGAUACGGCCCAGACUCCAACGGGAGGCAGCAGUGGGGAAUAUUGCACAAUGGGCGGAAGCCUGAUGCAGCAACGCCGCGUGCGGGAUGACGGCCUUCGGGUUGUAAACCGCUUUCGCCUGUGACGAAGCGGGAGUGACGGUAAUGGGUAAAGAAGCACCGGCUAACUACGUG
rnacentral:rRNA from 1 species